UAGCUUGCUAUANUACCUAGCGGCGGACGGGUGAGUAAUGCUUAGGAAUCUGCCUAUUAGUGGGGGACAACAUUCCGAAAGGAAUGCUAAUACCGCAUACGCCCUACGGGGGAAAGCAGGGGAUCUUCGGACCUUGCGCUAAUAGAUGAGCCUAAGUCAGAUUAGCUAGUUGGUGGGGUAAAGGCCUACCAAGGCGACGAUCUGUAGCGGGUCUGAGAGGAUGAUCCGCCACACUGGGACUGAGACACGGCCCAGACUCCUACGGGAGGCAGCAGUGGGGAAUAUUGGACAAUGGGCGCAAGCCUGAUCCAGCCAUGCCGCGUGUGUGAAGAAGGCCUUUUGGUUGUAAAGCACUUUAAGCGAGGAGGAGGCUACUUGGAUUAAUACUCUAGGAUAGUGGACGUUACUCGCAGAAUAAGCACCGGCUAACUCUGUGCCAGCAGCCGCGGUAAUACAGAGGGUGCGAGCGUUAAUCGGAUUUACUGGGCGUAAAGCGUGCGUAGGCGGCUUUUUAAGUCGGAUGUGAAAUCCCUGAGCUUAACUUAGGAAUUGCAUUCGAUACUGGGAAGCUAGAGUAUGGGAGAGGAUGGUAGAAUUCCAGGUGUAGCGGUGAAAUGCGUAGAGAUCUGGAGGAAUACCGAUGGCGAAGGCAGCCAUCUGGCCUAAUACUGACGCUGAGGUACGAAAGCAUGGGGAGCAAACAGGAUUAGAUACCCUGGUAGUCCAUGCCGUAAACGAUGUCUACUAGCCGUUGGGGCCUUUGAGGCUUUAGUGGCGCAGCUAACGCGAUAAGUAGACCGCCUGGGGAGUACGGUCGCAAGACUAAAACUCAAAUGAAUUGACGGGGGCCCGCACAAGCGGUGGAGCAUGUGGUUUAAUUCGAUGCAACGCGAAGAACCUUACCUGGUCUUGACAUAGUAAGAACUUUCCAGAGAUGGAUUGGUGCCUUCGGGAACUUACAUACAGGUGCUGCAUGGCUGUCGUCAGCUCGUGUCGUGAGAUGUUGGGUUAAGUCCCGCAACGAGCGCAACCCUUUUCCUUAUUUGCCAGCGGGUUAAGCCGGGAACUUUAAGGAUACUGCCAGUGACAAACUGGAGGAAGGCGGGGACGACGUCAAGUCAUCAUGGCCCUUACGACCAGGGCUACACACGUGCUACAAUGGUCGGUACAAAGGGUUGCUACCUAGCGAUAGGAUGCUAAUCUCAAAAAGCCGAUCGUAGUCCGGAUUGGAGUCUGCAACUCGACUCCAUGAAGUCG
rnacentral:rRNA from 1 species